AAAAACUCCAACCGGCCAGUGCACUGGGGUGGAGCCUCAGGAAAUGUGUGCCCUUUGCAGCAAAGAGCGUGGUUCCUCCUCUUCCUGGGUGUAAACUGCGAUUCAAAAAGCCAGCCUGAAUUUUCAUGGCCAUGGGACAAAGAACCCCGUCUUUAGCUGAAUUAAGGAAAAGUUCUGCAACAUUUUUGACGUGCAACUUGGGGGCUCAAGCGGAGAAGCGAAGCAGAGCCCCUGGAAAACUCACAUAUGUGUCAACAAUAGUCCUUGAUGCCCCUGUAACAAAACUUGAGCAAGGCCUGGUGAUGAAGAGAUACAAGAUUGUCACCCAAGGAUUUGAUUAUACCUCUGUUGAAAGUUAAUGCACACUCAACCGAAUAUGGCAAUUGGUACUCUCAAUUCUAUAUUCUCAACAAUUACAGUGAAGAUACAAGUAGAAUACAAUCACUGCCACAUUUUUUGAAAUUCUGUGUAAACUGUAAUAUUCUGUCAACAUUAAUGACAUUUGAAGUGUCCUGUCAAAACAAUUGCAGCUACUUUAUGUAUAAAACAUAUUAAAUAGGCUCAUCCAACUUGCAUUCUUUAUUAAGCUUAUUUUCAUAUUUUUUCCUAUGGAUGAACUUAAAAAUAAUUUUGUUUCUUAAUUAAGAUUCUAUGCAUGAAGAUGCUGAAUAAUUUAAGACAAUUGUUCAUUCAAAUAGUUGCUAAUUACACCCUCCUGGCAUAGUUAUUGUAUUAUUACUACAUUUAGGAAUAAUAUGCUGUACUACUUGGACUUGAAAAUGUUUCUGACAUUUUAAUGAACACACUACUUAGUUAUAUUUUACAAGGGUUUUCAGUGAACCACAGAGGAUUAAAAAAUGUCAUUCAAGGGUUGUAGAUAAUUAAACUGACUGAAUAUAAGAAGCCUCAUAUGGAAGUGAAAAUUAUGUAUGAAUUUUGUUGAGCUGGAAAUGUGUUUUACUAAAUGACUUCAGAUUUGUUACUUUUAAAUACAAGAUGAAGGGAAUCAAGGGGAUACUUUCUUCUCACCUCAAUUUGUUCCAUUUGCAUAAGCUAUUUUAUCUUUCAAUAUCCCUUUUGAUAUUUCAUUUUGGCCCUUGAAUACACUAAAGAUUAUUUAAAAUAAAUAAAUGUUGACUUUGAAAUACUGCUAUAUAUAUUCAUUGCAAUACAUCAGGUGGGAAAUUGGUGCAAUUCAGUCACACACACAACCUCAUAGAUCAGAUUUCCAGUUAAGUUUUAAUAGAAAGAGAUUUUAGAUAGACAUGACUUUCAAUAAAAUGGAAGAAUUUUUAUUAGUUUCAAAAUAAUGAUUUUACUUGCUUAUCAACACAGUUGACCUUUCCCCACAGUACUAUGAUCUUCUUAGUACCUCUGCUAUAAUUAUAUUAAUGUCUUCCUAUAUCUAGAAAUUUGAUUAUUAUUCUAUUUUUAUGGAUCAUUAAAUUUUUCUAUUCAAGAAUGAUCCCUAUAGUCAACUUCCUGAGGGAUUUCUGCUUGCUAUUUUCUGUUUCAAUUGUGUGCAUUUCAUAUUUACUAUUAAAGAUUUUAAAUAAUGACACAUUGUUUAAGCGGUUGUAAGUCUGAUUGUUAUAAAGCUCUCUGGAGAAUUCUGUAAGCUUUCACAUCUGAUGGAGAACUUCAAUGAGAACAUCUUUAAUGUGGAAUUCUUGGACAAGAAACUACAGAUUAUCCAUGGUUCAGAAGAUAUGAUGAAUUAGUAACUAUUUUUCCGUACAUAAAAAGUCAAUCUUCCUAACCAGUUUGUUGUUUUAGCUAAAUGAAUCGGUCAAAUAUUUUAGUUAUAUUAGCAAUAUUUUGUCUCUAAAAUAUCUUGACAUAAAACUAUUACUAUGCAUAUAUUAUUAACCAUGAUCUUGUAUAGCUCUAUUUCAAGCGUAUUACUAACCAUAACGAAAAUAACUUUUAAUACUGAAAUACAUCAUCGAACUUCUAAGACUUUUUCUAUUUAAAAUUCCUAAGAUUUGUAAAAUUCUAUCAACGUAGUUACUUAAAGCAAAACAAGUUGCGUUAUAGUUUCUUAAAACAACAUUUUUUAUAUUGUACUUUUUAAAAACAACAUUUCCCAGCUACCACUUUUGGCAAGAAAUUGAGAGUUUAAACCUGUUGAAAGGAAUAUAAGAUGAGUGUAUGUGUCUCACAGUCAUAAUUAAAAUGUGUUUAUGAACAUGUAUAUACUAUUGCACAUAAAUUAUGUACUCUCAUUCAUUCUUUAAAAUCCACUAUUUCUCAUUAUCUCAGAUUGUGCUAAAUUUCAGGUUAAGCUAAUGAGGUAUUUUCUUCUGAAUUUUGAAUUUCUUUCAUGAGAAGUUACUAAGAAAUCAUAAGUAAGUUCAAAUUCUUUACCAGUUCUCGAUUUGAACACUAGUAUUCUCAGAAACCUAGGAACAGGAAAGAAACACCCUCCCUUUAUCACAGUAGGCUAGGAUGUGCUGCAAUAGCCAGCACAAAAAUCAAAGUGGUUAAACACAAUGAAAAUUUAAUUCUCCCAUUACAGGUCCACACAGGUCAGCAGGACUCACCCUCUGGCUGACGGAGGCUCCAUCAUGUUCCAAAUACACUAUUUGCUACCCAUGCUCUCCUUGGUCACUGCUAUAGAGAAGCAGAGCCCCUGGAAAAUAGCCCUAAGAAAUUUAACUGCCUCAGGCAAAGAUUGACAUGUGUCACUGCUGCUCAUAUUUCAUUGACAUGGGCAUGGCAUACUUAAAUGAAAGGGUGCCAGGAAAUGUGUGUGUGGAGGAUUAAAAUAGUUGGCAAGCACCAGUGACCCUGCUACAUGGAUAUCUGCUAUCACUGACACCCUGACUGUCACAAUAUGCAAAGAAAAACUCAAGUGCCUAUGGGAAAGAUCACAUAUUAUAAAAUCAUAACUGAAAACUUGGGAACUAAUAAUUUUUCUACUGUAGAAUAUCCAACUCUUGUUUAACUUAACCUGUAUUUUUUUAAAAUAACAAUUUUAUUUCUAAAAAAUACACACCGAUUUAUUGUUUUCAUUUUUAGUGUGAGUGGCUACUGCUUGAUAAAGUUUGCUCCUCGUGCAUUCUUUUCUCUUUUUUUCUCCAGGGUGAUAUUGUGGAUUGAACAGAGCACAGGGCUGAAUCUGAAAUACAGACAGGUUGCAAUUAAA
rnacentral:lncRNA from 1 species